AUUGAACGCUGGCGGAAUGCUUUACACAUGCAAGUCGAACGGCAGCACGGACUUCGGUCUGGUGGCGAGUGGCGAACGGGUGAGUAAGGUAUCGGAACGUGCCCAGUCGUGGGGGAUAACGUAGUGAAACUUACGCUAAUACCGCAUACGAUCUCUGGACGAAAGCGGGGGAUCGCCCGACCUCGCGCGAUUGGAGCGGCCGAUAUCAGAAUAGGCAGUUGGUGGGGUAAAGGCCCACCAAGCCAACGAUCUGUCGCUGGUCUGAGAGGACGACCAGCCACACUGGAACUGAGACACGGUCCAGACUCCUACGGGAGGCAGCAGUGGGGAAUUUUGGACAAUGGGCGAAAGCCUGAUCCAGCCAUUCCGCGUGCAGGAUGAAGGCCCUCGGGUUGUAAACUGCUUUUGUACAGAACGAAAAGGUUUCUACUAAUACUAGGAGCUCAUGACGGUACUGUAAGAAUAAGCACCGGCUAACUACGUGCCAGCCGCCGCUGUAA
rnacentral:rRNA from 1 species